UGACUUAAGGAGCCUUAAUUCAGUUGAGAA
rnacentral:piRNA from 1 species